rnacentral:misc_RNA from 1 species
GAUGAAGAACGCAGCGAAAUGCGAUAAGUAGUGUGAAUUGCAGAAUUCAGUGAAUCAUCGAAUCUUUGAACGCACAUUGCGCCCUUUGGUAUUCCAAAGGGCAUGCCUGUUCGAGCGUCAUUUGUACCCUCAAGCUUUGCUUGGUGUUGGGCGUCUUGUCUCUAGCUUUGCUGGAGACUCGCCUUAAAGUAAUUGGCAGACGGCCUACUGGUUUCGGAGCGCAGCACAAGUCGCACUCUCUAUCAGCAAAGGUCUAGCAUCCACUAAGCCUUUUUUUCAACUUUUGACCUCGGAUCAGGUAGGGAUACCCGCUGAACUUAAGCAUAUCAAUAAGCGGAGGA